rnacentral:rRNA from 1 species
UACAGAGGUCUCAAGCGUUGUUCGGAUUCAUUGGGCGUAAAGGGUGCGUAGGCGGCGCGGUAAGUCGGGUGUGAAAUCUCGGAGCUUAACUCCGAAACUGCAUUCGAUACUGCCGUGCUUGAGGACUGGAGAGGAGACUGGAAUUUACGGUGUAGCGGUGAAAUGCGCAGAUAUCAGGAGGAACACCGGUGGCGAAGGCGGGUCUCUGGGCCGAAAUUGACGCUGAGGAGCGAAAGCGUGGGGAGCGAACAGG